GACGAACGCUGGCGGCGUGCUUAACACAUGCAAGUCGAACGGAAAGGCCCUGCCUUGGUGGGGUGCUCGAGUGGCGAACGGGUGAGUAACACGUGAGUAACCUGCCCUUGACUUCGGGAUAAGUCCAGGAAACUGGGGCUAAUACCGGAUAGGAGCUCCUGCUGCAUGGUGGGGGUGGGAAAGUUUCGGCGGUUGGGGUUGGACUCGCGGCUUAUCAGCUUGUUGGUGGGGUAGUGGCUUACCAAGGCUUUGGCGGUUCGCCGGCCUGGGGGGGUGACCGGCCACAUUGGGCCGGGGUUCCGGCCCGGCCUCCUCCGGGGGGCAGCAGUGGGGAAUAUUGCCCAAUGGGCGGAGCCCUAAUGCAGCAACGCCGCGUGCGGGAUGACGGCCUUCGGUUUGUAACCCGCUUCCGCCUGUGACGAAGCGUGAGUGACGGUAAUGGGUAAAGAAGCACCGGCUAACUACGUG
rnacentral:rRNA from 1 species